rnacentral:rRNA from 1 species
AACCAGGAUGUUGGCUUAGAAGCAGCCACUCAUUAAAAGAGUGCGUAAUAGCUCACUGGUCGAGUGACCCUGCGCCGAAAAUUCAACGGGGCUAAACAAUGUACCGAAGCUUGGGAUUCUAAAGUAAUUUAGAGUGGUAGGAGAGCGUCGAAUAAGGGGUGAAGUCAGAGCGGAAGCGCUGGUGGACUUUAUUCGAGUGAGAAUGCCGGAAUGAGUAGCGAGAAUUAUGUGAGAAUCAUAAUGGCCGAAAAUCUAAGGUUUCCUGAGGAAGGUUCGUCCGCUCAGGGUAAGCCGGGGGCUAAGGCGAGGCGGAGACGCGUAGCCGAUGCACAUACGGUUGAAAUUCCGUAGCCACCGAAAGAUUUAAGUACAGGGACGCUUUAGAAGUGAUGUAGCCGGGCGAUGGUUGACCCGGUCGUAAGGGAUCGAAAAUGAGUAGAGAAGUCAUCAUGGAAAGAGACAAGAAAAGCUGUAUGGAUAUCUUAGGUGCCCGUACCGCAAACCGACACAGGUAGAUAGGAAGAAGAUUCUAAGGCCAACGGGAGAAGGGUUGUUAAGGAACUCGGCAAGUUGACCCCGUAACUUAGGGAUAAGGGGUGCUCAAGUGAUUGAGCCGCAGAGAAUAGGCCCAGGCGACUGUUUAGCAAAAACACAGGUCUCUGCUAAAUCGAAAGAUGACGUAUAGGGGCUGACACCUGCCCGGUGCCGGAAGGUUAAGAGGAGAUGUGAGAGCAUUGAAUUGAAGCCCCGGUAAACGGCGGCCGUAACUAUAACGGUCCUAAGGUAGCGAAAUUCCUUGUCAGGUAAGUUCUGACCCGCACGAAAGGUGUAACGAUCUGGGCACUGUCUCAACAACCCGCCCGGCGAAAUUGUAGUACCGGUGAAGAUGCCGGUUACCCGCGACUAGACGGAAAGACCCCAUGGAGCUUUACUGUAGCCUAAUAUUGGAUUUCGGUAUUUCACGUACAGGAUAGGUGGGAGACUGGGAAGCACAGGCGUCAGCUUGUGUGGAGUCGACCUUGGGAUACCACUCUUGGAGUGCUGGAAUUCUAACCUGCGGCUUUGAAGCAAGUCGGGGGACAUUGUUAGGUGGGCAGUUUGACUGGGGCGGUCGCCUCCUAAAGAGUAACGGAGGCGCUCAAAGGUUCGCUCUGCAUGGAUGGAAACCAUGCGUCAGAGUGUAAACGCAAAAGCGAGCCUAACUGCGAGAAUGACGGUUCGAGCAGUAACGAAAGUUGGAGUUAGUGAUCCGGCGGUAUGUGAAUGGAAAUGCCGUCGCUCAACGGAUAAAAGCUACCCUGGGGAUAACAGGCUGAUCUCCCCCAAGAGUCCACAUCGACGGGGAGGUUUGGCACCUCGAUGUCGGCUCAUCGCAUCCUGGGGCUGUAUUCGGUCCCAAGGGUUUGGCUGUUCGCCAAUUAAAGCGGUACGCGAGCUGGGUUCAGAACGUCGUGAGACAGUUCGGUCCCUAUCUGUCGUGGGCGUAGGAUAUUUGCAAGGAGCUGUCCCUAGUACGAGAGGACCGGGAUGGACGCACCUCUGGUGCACCAGUUGUCACGCCAGUGGCACAGCUGGGCAGCUAUGUGCGGAACGGAUAAACGCUGAAGGCAUCUAAGCGUGAAGCCGCCCUUAAGAUAAGAUAUCCCUUCUGUUUACAGAGUAAGACCCCUUGAAGACUACAAGGUUGAUAGGCUCAAAGUGUAAGCACGGUGACGUGUUUAGCUAGCGAGUACUAAUCGGUCGAGGGCUUAACCU